UACGGAGGAUGCAAGCGUUAUCCGGAUUUAUUGGGUUUAAAGGGUGCGUAGGCGGGAUGCCAAGUCAGCGGUAAAAAUGCGGUGCUCAACGCCGUCGAGCCGUUGAAACUGGCGUUCUUGAGUGGGCGAGAAGUAUGCGGAAUGCGUGGUGUAGCGGUGAAAUGCAUAGAUAUCACGCAGAACUCCGAUUGCGAAGGCAGCAUACCGGCGCCCUACUGACGCUGAGGCACGAAAGCGUGGGUAUCGAACAGG
rnacentral:rRNA from 1 species